CAGUCGCCGCGGGAAUACGUAGGGUGCAAGCGUUAAUCGGAAUUACUGGGCGUAAAGCGUGCGCAGGCGGUUCGUUAAGACAGAUGUGAAAUCCCCGGGCUUAACCUGGGAACUGCAUUUGUGACUGGCGGGCUAGAGUAUGGCAGAGGGGGGUAGAAUUCCACGUGUAGCAGUGAAAUGCGUAGAGAUGUGGAGGAAUACCGAUGGCGAAGGCAGCCCCCUGGGCCAAUACUGACGCUCAUGCACGAAAGCGUGGGGAGCAAACAGGAUUAGAUACCCCGGUAGUCCCUGUCUCUUAUAA
rnacentral:rRNA from 1 species